AACAAGCUCAAGCUAAUUGCGUGUAUCUGAAACUUCUGACUGAUAACACCUGCCAGGCAUGUGGUCAAACUGUACAGACCUAUUUAAGUUAAUUUCAUAAAUCAAUAUUUUGCCCUGGGAUAAAUUUUUUUUACCUGAUCUUACUACUAGGGUUCUAACAGCACAUAUAUUUGUUUUGUGCCAUUCAGUUACAUCAUUUUCAUUUUGAAACACACAAUAAAAUGAAAGAAAACAUUUCGACACAGGCAGAACCUAAAUUCACAAGUGGAUGUUUACGCAUCCUAAUUGUGACUAUGAGCCGAUUACAGCUAGUGCUGGUUACAGUCAGUCAUAACCAGCAGUUUAACAGCAUUCUGGUUCACCAAUAAAUUACACCAAGGCUAGAGGGAGACAGUAAUCGUUAAGACCACUAUCAUUGUACAUGCCUUAUCAUUAAUGUGAUAACUCAAGGUCUUUGACAGAUUUUUAUCGAACUCAGCAGGCACACUGCCGGGGCGCUGGAAUAGGACCGAUCAAAUUCUGAGACAGACGGCACCAAAACUGUUGCAGUGCCACAUAGUAAUACCAAAAGAUAAGGGCAGAUUCGGACACAUGACCCCAUUAGCUCGAUAAACCAAAAAGUUUUGCAUGCAUUGCAUUUUAUUGAUGACAAACUGAAACAAUCAAAUUUUGAGACAUCUCUUCAAUUUUAGGACAAUAACACUUAGUGACAGCAAAAUACUCAAAAUGCUCUCAUCUCGUGGCAAUACAUAAUGUGAUAGGAUACACUCUACAGGGUUCAUACAGUUUUCAGUCAAAUAAAUUUUCAUGACUUCUCAUGAUUUCUCCAGGACUUCGAGUUAAAUUUGAUUCAAAGAAAGAUUUUUCUUCAACCCAUUCAGGAAAAGUGUUCUUGCUGUUAUGUGAUCAUCACCACAUGGCACAAUUACAAACAUGUACUUUGUGUAGAGGAACCGGCUGUUAUGAUCUUGCAUUCAUCCAUUGGAUAUGGAUGCACCUUCCAUUGCAUACAAUUUGACAGAUAUGUAUGUCGCUUUUCUCUCUUUUUCAAAGACAGACUAUUAAAAGAAGUUGCACAGUUUUCCUAAUGUGGCCUAAUGAUGGAGAGCUGAACAAUUAUUAACCACACUAGAUUAUCUGUCGGAGCUAUCACCAGAUAGAUAUUCGACAUCUGAAGAGAUAUCCAUCCAUCCAUUUUCCAAACUGCUUAUCCUACUGGAUAAGCCUCAGCAUGUGUUUGGACUGUAGGGGGAAAAUCCACAACCACAUGGGGAGAACAUGCAAACUCCGCACACAUGUGACCAAGUCGGAGACUCGAACCCGGGUCCCAGAGGUGUGAGGCGACAGUGCUAACCACUGCACCACCAUGCCGCCCCCCGGAAGCGAUAUAGUAAAGACAAACAUCUACAAGUUUUUUUAUACAUUCCAUAACCAUUCUUGGGCAUAAUGUACUCUUCCAGACCUGCCAACAUUGGGAAAUGUUUUUGAGUACCCCAAUGGUGGCACUACCGCAGACUCACACUCGCUUGGUGGAUGUGACUGGACUGCGCAAGCAGUGACUUUAGUUGGAGGGGCAGCAACUGACGACUGACAGGAUGUUCGGCCAAUAAUGUGCGUAUUUCUCCUCACCUCCAAUCCUUUACUAUCGCUAUUCUCGUCAUUUUACUGUCUCGAGGCGCCCUGAGCUGUGUAUGCAGCCCCGCCCUCCUGCUGCAGACUAGCUCUUUUAAGAGAUCUGGCUCUUAUGGCUCGGCUCACUUAAAAGAGCCGGCUCUUUCGGCUCCCAAGUGGCUCUUCAGAUUUUCUUUGGUGCUUAAAUGAAUUUAUUACCAGAAAUAAUGUAAAAUUAUUAGUGAAACGAAUUACUAUGGUUGGAAAUUACACGCAAUCAUUUUAGCCAAUUCCUCAUCAGUUGUGUUCUGUUUGCAGAAACUGUCUCGUAGAGCUCUAGGUUGUAGGUCUAGGUGGUUGUGGUGCUGUACUGGAUGACGGUGUAGACAUUGACAAACUGGCACUUUCAACAGUUGCAGUAGACAAACUGUCACUUUCCUUAGUAGCAGGUUCACUUGCUUGUCUUUUUUCUUCCCACUGCCCUGAUGGAUGUACAGUUCUCAUGUGCCAAUGCAGGUUAUUUGUAGAGCCUGUUCGAUAUGAGAUUUUAACCUUGCAAGCUCUACACUCUGCCUUUGUAUUAUCAAUGCAAUUGAAAUGUAUCCAAAUUUUA